GAUAGGUUUGUGCAAUUUGCAUGAGUCAUCCCGUUAGUAGAAAUUAGGAUUUGCCAAAGGGUUAUAAUCGGAAAAAUUAUGUACAUUCCCAAGUAAUAAAUAAAAUAGUCGAGCUUUAAAAUAACUUUUUAAAUAGAAGCUGUAAAUAUAAACUUUCAACUGGCUUAUUCUAUUCACAGUCAAUUAUUUCAAUUCAAAAGCAAACACAAAUUCAGCAACAAUCUUUUGGUGACCCGGCAGUCAGCGGUCUUAGGUUCAUGUAUUGCUUUUCUUUUUUUUUUUAAAGAAAGCAACUUGUUUUGCUAAUGACAAAUGUAUUUUUAUAUUGAUUAGACCGUUGGGUUUCCCGUUUGAAUGGUUUUACAUUGCUCAUUCUUAGGGCCCUUUAUAGCUUGCUGUUCGGUGUGAGCCAAUGCUCUGUGUUCAAGGCCGUACCUUGACCUGUAAUGGUUUACUUUUAUGAAUUGUUUUAACAUUGGAUGGAGAGUUGUCUCAUUGGCACUCAUACCACAUCUUCCUAUAUCUAUUUGUCUAUAUGACCUUUUGUGUUUCUUUGUUACAUAAUUUAUUUGUUUGUUUUAUAGUGAUUGAGAUUAUAACACCCUGUUGAAUGGUGUACCCCCAGUUUAUACUUUUUUACCUAUUAUGAUAGGUUUCUUUGUUUUGUUCAUACUUCGUUGUCAAUAUAUGUAAUUUGUAUGCGACUGCCAAACAAGUGAGAAGUUUAGCUAACGAUUAAAUCAAGUAGAAUUCACCAUUUUCUACAGAAGAAAAUGCAAGUCAGGAAUAUGGCAGUUGUUAUCCAUUCGUUUGACUUAUUUGACCUUUUAAUUGCAAUUUGGUUACAGACUUACAGUUUUGCAAUUUCUCUGAGUUCGGUAAUUUUUUUUAUUGUUAUAAUUACUUUUAAAGAGUUGUGACCUUUUAAAGUCAUUUUUAUUAAUGUCUGUUUCACAUUUCAUAAAAAGGAAAACAUGAAAGGUACAACAUCAACAUCAAAAGCUGACAGUGAUACAAAGCUAUACAAAGUAUAGAAAUUACAUUUAUGGAGACUUAAUUCGCCAACACUGGUAUUACCAC
rnacentral:lncRNA from 1 species